GACGAACGCUGGCGGCGUGCCUAAUACAUGCAAGUAGAACGCACAGUUUAUACUGUAGCUUGCUACACCAUAGACAGGGAGUUGCGAACGGGUGAGUAACGCGUAGGUAACCUGGCUGGUAGCGGGGGAUAACUAUUGGAAACGAUAGCUAAUACCGCAUAAUAUUAAUUAUUGCAUGAUAAUUAAUUGAAAGGUGCAAUUGCACCACUACCAGAUGGACCUGCGUUGUAUUAGCUAGUAGGUGAGGUAACGGCUCACCUAGGCGACGAUACAUAGCCGACCUGAGAGGGUGAUCGGCCACCCUGGGACUGAGACACGGCCCAGAGUCCUACGGGAGGCCGCAGUAGGGGAUCUUCGGCAAUGGACGAAAGUCUGACCGAGCAACGCCGCGUGAGUGAAGGAGGUUUUCGGAUCGUAAAGCCCUGUUGUAAGAGGAGAACGGGUGUGAGAGUGGAAAGUUCACACUGUGACGGUAUCUUACCAGAAAGCGCCGGCUAACUACGUG
rnacentral:rRNA from 1 species